GAUCGUGGAGAGCAUCCAGUCAACGUCCCCGUUCUGGCGUUCUGGCGUUCUGGCGUUCAGCCCGGACAUGAACCGUAAUAAGCCGGAAUGAAAGAUGACGACAAUGGCAAUGGCCACAUGGGGGCCGUUCGUGAUACCCAGUAUCUAGUACAUAUCAGACAACAACAAGUUGACGAAGGAGAAAAGACGGAAAUGGAACUGAGAACUGAAGAGUUCUCGCAGGUCAGACUCGUGCGUAGCUCUCUUCCGGGCAGUAGCUUUGGGCUCGUCCUAUCACCACCGGGGGUGCUAGCUUCGUUUCCAGGCCAAUAAGAUCGGCAAUAGCAUCUUCAAGCCAAGAAGUGCAGGGGCGAGAGGGGCUAUCAACCACUCGAUGAUCCAAACACGUCCAAUGGCAACUUCAUUGCUGUGUGCAGGGCUCGAGACCCUUCUCCGGACAACACGAACUGCAUCCAUGACCAGAGCUGCAAUCCACCCUCACAAAUUGCCUUUGCGACAAUAACCUCGCGGCGCUAUCCUCGUAUCGAAAGGUCGACCCUAAAUGGCAGCCAACGCCGUCAAAAUUCUCAGGAAGACAGGGGCUUCAGAGUCACAUGCAAAGCUCAAUUAUUUCCAGGCCGAAAGAGCUUCAGAUACGUUUCCCAAGCAAAGGCAAGAUCUGGUGCUGAUCGACGUGGACAGCAGCAAGGAUAAGUCGCAAUG